UAUUAUCAAUGGUACGCGUAAAUCGGC
rnacentral:piRNA from 1 species